rnacentral:lncRNA from 1 species
AGAAAAAUUCUACUUUCCAUCUGCUUGGCUGCGGAGGACCUUGGGGUGGGCUCAGCGUGGGGGCUGCAGGCAGAAAUGGGUCCAGAAGGCAAGGUCGAGGUUAGAGCCAAGCCUGUGGGCAGGGCUACGGGCAGGGGGCGGGGAGGAAUGUGGGUCCAGGCCCAGAGGAAAAGGUUGAAGUUAUAGCCAGGCCUGUGGGCGAGGCCGCAGCAGGGCGGCCAUAGGGGAAGGAGCCAAUGUGUUAUGCAUGUAGAAAAUAGACAAAAUCUCACUCUGUCACCAAGGCUGGAGUUCAGUGGAGCCAUCUCAGCUCACUGCAACCUCCACCUCCCAGGUUCAAGCGAUUCUCCUGCCUCAUCCUCCCAAGUAGCUGGAAUUACAGGUGCAUGCUGCCACACCCUGCUAAUUUUUGUAUUUUUAGUAGAGGCAGGGUUUUGCCAUGCUGGCCAGGCUGGUCUUGAACUACUUGUCAGGCCUCUGAGCCCAAGUUAAAUCAUCAUAAACCCUGUCACCUGCACGUAUACAUCCAGAUGGCCUGGAGCAACUGAAGAACCACAAAAGAAGUGAAACAGCCAGUUCCUGCCUUAACUGAUGACGUUCCACCAUUGUGAUUUGUUGCUGCCCCACCCCAACUGAUCUCUUGACCUUGUGACAUUCUUCUUCUGGACGAGUCUCAGGAGUUCCCCACCGAGCACCUUGUGACCCCCGGCCCUGCCAGCAAAAGAUAACCACCUUUAACUUUCCACUACCUACCCAAAUCCUAUAAAACUGCCCCACCCCUAUCUCCCUUUGCUGACCCCUUUCUCGGACUCAGCCCACUUGCACCCAAGUGAAUAAACAGCCUUGUUGCUAA